rnacentral:rRNA from 1 species
GACAUAGGUGGCGAACGUUAUCCGGAAUUACUGGGCGUAAAGAGUGCGUAGGUGGUUCAAUAAGUUACUGGUGGGAAAUCGGGGCUCAACCUCGUGGAAGUCAGUAAUACUAUUAAACUAGAGGGUCGGAGAGGUUAACGGAAUUCUAUGUGUAGCGGUAAAAUGCUUAAAUAUAUAGAGGAACACCAAACGGCGAAGGCAGUUAACUAUUCGAUUCCUGACGUUGAGGCACGAAAGCGUGGGAGCAAGACGG